rnacentral:rRNA from 1 species
CACGUAGGGUGCGAGCGUUGUCCGGAAUUAUUGGGCGUAAAGAGCUCGUAGGCGGUGUGUCGCGUCGGCCGUGAAAACCUGCAGCUUAACUGUGGGCUUGCGGUCGAUACGGGCAUCACUGGAGUUCGGCAGGGGAGACUGGAAUUCCUGGUGUAGCGGUGAAAUGCGCAGAUAUCCGGAGGAACACCAGGGGCGAAAGCGGCCGACUGGUCGAGUACUGACGCUGAGGCGCGACGGCGUGGGGAGCAAACCGG